rnacentral:rRNA from 1 species
UACGUAGGGCGCAAGCGUUAUCCGGAAUUAUUGGGCGUAAAGAGCUCGUAGGCGGUUUGACGCGUCUGCCGUGAAAGCCCGGGGCUCAACUCCGGAUCUGCGGUGGGUACGGGCAGACUAGAGUGAUGUAGGGGAGACUGGAAUUCCUGGUGUAGCGGUGAAAUGCGCAGAUAUCAGGAGGAACACCGAUGGCGAAGGCAGGUCUCUGGGCAUUAACUGACGCUGAGGAGCGAAAGCAUGGGGAGCGAACAGG